rnacentral:rRNA from 1 species
AGCCUGAACGCUGGCGGCGUGGCUAAGACAUGCAAGUCGCACGGAGGCCGCAAGGCUUUAGUGGCGAACGGGUGAGUAAUGUAUCGCUAACGUACCCUUUAGUCUGGGAUAGCCAGGGGAAACCCUGGGUAAUACCAGUUGAUAUUCUCUUUCCGCAUGGGAGGAGACUCAAAGGAGCAAUCCGCUGAAGGAGCGGGCUGA